rnacentral:rRNA from 1 species
UACGAAGGGGGCUAGCGUUGCUCGGAAUCACUGGGCGUAAAGGGUGCGUAGGCGGGUUUUUAAGUCAGGGGUGAAAUCCUGGAGCUCAACUCCAGAACUGCCUUUGAUACUGAGGAUCUUGAGUUCGGGAGAGGUGAGUGGAACUGCGAGUGUAGAGGUGAAAUGCGUAGAUAUCUGGAGGAACACCGGUGGCGAAGGCGGCAUCCUGGACCGACACUGACGCUGAGGAGCGAAAGCCAGGGGAGCAAACGGG